GUCCUAGUAGUAUAAACAUUACCAUGGUCUUGUAAACCAUAAAUGAAGAACCUCUACUUCCUAAGACA
rnacentral:tRNA from 1 species